UACGUAGGUGGCGAGCGUUGUCCGGAUUUAUUGGGCGUAAAGCGCGCGCAGGCGGUCGCGUAAGUCUGCUGUGAAAUCUCCCUGGCUCAACCGGGAGGGGGCGGCGGAGACUGCGGGACUGGAGGGACCUAGAGGCCGGUGGAAUUCCCGGUGUAGUGGUGAAAUGCGUAGAGAUCGGGAGGAACACCUGUGGCGAAGGCGGCGACCUGGGCCAAUAUUGACGCUGAGGUGCGAAAGCGUGGGGAGCAAACAGG
rnacentral:rRNA from 1 species